AUGGCCUCUCCAGGCCCAGCUCUUGCUUCACGGAGGUCGUCCCCAGCCAAGUUCCUGCCUGCCUCCCAGCAGCCUCAACAGGCCCAGCUCCUGCCUCACACUGGCAUCAUUAGGCCCAGUUCAUGCCUCACAGUGGCCUCUCCAGGCUGAUCUCUUGUCUCACACUGGCCCCUUUAGGCCCAGCUCAUGCCUCUUGGCAGCCUCUUCAGGCCCAACUUCUGUGUCCUGGCAGCCUCUCCAGGCCCAGCUCCUGCCUCCUGUCAGCCUCUACAGGCCCAAUAUCUGCCUCACAGCAGAUUCUCCAGGCCCAGCAUCUGCCUCACCGUGGCCCCCCAAAGCCAAGCCCCUGCCUUUCAGCAGCCUCUACACACCCAGCUCCAGCCACCCAGUGGCUCUUCAGGCCAAGCUAAUACCUCACGAGGGUUUUUCCAGGCCCAACUUUUGUCUCAUGGCAACCUUCCCUGGCCAGGUUUCCACCUAUUUCCUGGCAGCCUGGACAGGCCCAGGUCCUGCCACACACUGGCCUCUCUACACCCAGCUCAUGCCUCACAGUGGCCUCUCCAGGCCCAGCUCCUGUCCCGGGACAUCAUCUACAGGUCCAAAACUUCCUCAAGUCGGCCUCUCCAGGCCCAGUUGCUGCCUCCUGGCGUCCUUUCCAGGCCUAGCUCUUCCUCCUGGCUGUAUCUACAAGCCCAACUCCUGCUUCACAACAACCUUUUAUGGCUCAGCUCCUGCCCAGCUCCUGCCAGCCUUUGUAGGCCCAAAACUUCCUCAAGUCAAGCUCUUUAGGCCCACCUUCUGCCUCGCAGUGGCCUGUACAGACCCAACUCUGGCUUGAGAAUAGCCUCUGCAGGCCCCGCUCUUGCCUCCUAGCACCCUCUCCAGGCCCAACUCUUGCCUCCUAGUGGCUUCCGUGGGCCAAGUUUCCGCCUGCCUCCCAGCAGCCUCAACAGGCCUAGCUCCUCCCUCACAGAGGCUUGUUUAUGCCCAGUCGAUGCCUCUGGCAACCU